rnacentral:rRNA from 1 species
CCUUUUGUAUAAUGGGUCAGCGACUUAUAUUCUGUAGCAAGGUUAACCGAAUAGGGGAGCCGAAGGGAAACCGAGUCUUAACUGGGCGUUAAGUUGCAGGGUAUAGACCCGAAACCCGGUGAUCUAGCCAUGGGCAGGUUGAAGGUUGGGUAACACUAACUGGAGGACCGAACCGACUAAUGUUGAAAAAUUAGCGGAUGACUUGUGGCUGGGGGUGAAAGGCCAAUCAAACCGGGAGAUAGCUGGUUCUCCCCGAAAGCUAUUUAGGUAGCGCCUCGUGAAUUCAUCUCCGGGGGUAGAGCACUGUUUCGGCAAGGGGGUCAUCCCGACUUACCAACCCGAUGCAAACUGCGAAUACCGGAGAAUGUUAUCACGGGAGACACACGGCGGGUGCUAACGUCCGUCGUGAAGAGGGAAACAACCCAGACCGCCAGCUAAGGUCCCAAAGUCAUGGUUAAGUGGGAAACGAUGUGGGAAGGCCCAGACAGCCAGGAUGUUGGCUUAGAAGCAGCCAUCAUUUAAAGAAAGCGUAAUAGCUCACUGGUCGAGUCGGCCUGCGCGGAAGAUGUAACGGGGCUAAACCAUGCACCGAAGCUGCGGCAGCGACGCUUAUGCGUUGUUGGGUAGGGGAGCGUUCUGUAAGCCUGUGAAGGUGUACUGUGAGGUAUGCUGGAGGUAUCAGAAGUGCGAAUGCUGACAUAAGUAACGAUAAAGCGGGUGAAAAGCCCGCUCGCCGGAAGACCAAGGGUUCCUGUCCAACGUUAAUCGGGGCAGGGUGAGUCGACCCCUAAGGCGAGGCCGAAAGGCGUAGUCGAUGGGAAACAGGUUAAUAUUCCUGUACUUGGUGUUACUGCGAAGGGGGGACGGAGAAGGCUAUGUUGGCCGGGCGACGGUUGUCCCGGUUUAAGCGUGUAGGCUGGUUUUCCAGGCAAAUCCGGAAAAUCAAGGCUGAGGCGUGAUGACGAGGCACUACGGUGCUGAAGCAACAAAUGCCCUGCUUCCAGGAAAAGCCUCUAAGCAUCAGGUAACAUCAAAUCGUACCCCAAACCGACACAGGUGGUCAGGUAGAGAAUACCAAGGCGCUUGAGAGAACUCGGGUGAAGGAACUAGGCAAAAUGGUGCCGUAACUUCGGGAGAAGGCACGCUGAUAUGUAGGUGAAGCGACUUGCUCGUGGAGCUGAAAUCAGUCGAAGAUACCAGCUGGCUGCAACUGUUUAUUAAAAACACAGCACUGUGCAAACACGAAAGUGGACGUAUACGGUGUGACGCCUGCCCGGUGCCGGAAGGUUAAUUGAUGGGGUUAGCGCAAGCGAAGCUCUUGAUCGAAGCCCCGGUAAACGGCGGCCGUAACUAUAACGGUCCUAAGGUAGCGAAAUUCCUUGUCGGGUAAGUUCCGACCUGCACGAAUGGCGUAAUGAUGGCCAGGCUGUCUCCACCCGAGACUCAGUGAAAUUGAACUCGCUGUGAAGAUGCAGUGUACCCGCGGCAAGACGGAAAGACCCCGUGAACCUUUACUAUAGCUUGACACUGAACAUUGAGCCUUGAUGUGUAGGAUAGGUGGGAGGCUUUGAAGUGUGGACGCCAGUCUGCAUGGAGCCGACCUUGAAAUACCACCCUUUAAUGUUUGAUGUUCUAACGUUGACCCGUAAUCCGGGUUGCGGACAGUGUCUGGUGGGUAGUUUGACUGGGGCGGUCUCCUCCUAAAGAGUAACGGAGGAGCACGAAGGUUGGCUAAUCCUGGUCGGACAUCAGGAGGUUAGUGCAAUGGCAUAAGCCAGCUUGACUGCGAGCGUGACGGCGCGAGCAGGUGCGAAAGCAGGUCAUAGUGAUCCGGUGGUUCUGAAUGGAAGGGCCAUCG